rnacentral:rRNA from 1 species
UACGGGGGGGCAAGCGUUGUUCGGAAUUACUGGGCGUAAAGGGCUCGUAGGCGGCCAACUAAGUCAGACGUGAAAUCCCCUCGGCUUAAACCGGGGAACUGCGUCUGAUACUGGUUGGCUUGAAUCCGGAGAGGGAUGUGGAAUUCCGAGGUGUAGCGGUGAAAUGACGUAGAUAUCUGGAGGAACACCGGUGGCGAAGGCGGGCAUCCUGGACCCGGUAGUUGACGCUG